rnacentral:rRNA from 1 species
UACAGAGGGGGCGAGCGUUGUUCGGAAUUACUGGGCGUAAAGGGCGCGUAGGCGGCCAACUAAGUCAGACGUGAAAUCCCCUCGGCUCAACCGGGGAACUGCGUCUGAUACUGGAUGGCUUGAAUUCGGGAGAGGGAUGCGGAAUUCCAGGUGUAGCGGUGAAAUGCGUAGAUAUCUGGAGGAACACCGGGUGGCGAAGGCGACAUCCUGGACCGGUAUUGACGCUGAGGCGCGAAAGCCAGGGGGAGCAAACGGG